AUGACCACAUCGCAUUUAGACACCAGUUCCCAUAGAAUGGCCAAAGUUAAGCAACAUCAAGCUUAGUCAGUACCUAGAUGGGUGACCACUUGGGAAUACCAGGUGCUGUAAG
rnacentral:rRNA from 1 species